GCCAGUGUAGUUUAGUGGUUUGAAUGUUGGACUAUGACUCCAGAGACUAGGGUUUGAAUCCCUGCUCAGCCA